AAUCAUAUCAUUGAUAAUGCAAAUAAAUCAAAUUUUAGUGAGUUGCAGAAGCUUUGAAGGCGGCAAAAGAGUGGCAGGAGUCUCUUCCUCCACGAAAACAAAACUCUGUUUCACCUAAAGAUCUUCAUGCUUCGAGCACAACUCCUAAGGUCCCGGAAAAUUCCUUUAUGUUGUUCUCGGAUGCGGCUUGGAAUUCUUCUUCUCUUGCAGGUGGACUCGGCUGGGUAUGUACAGAUUCGAGAGGCACACUCUGUUUCGAAGGAUCCGACAAUGGACGCUACAUUGUGUCAGCUCUUGCAGCAGAAGCCUUGGCUCUGCGUUCAGGCCUUUCGAAGGCUAUGUCCGUUGGAAUUAAAGACGUGGUCUAUUUCUCAGACUCUAAAAGUCUUAUCGAUUUAAACACAGGGAACAAAUCUGUGAUUGCACUGCGAGGGGUACUCCAUGAUAUAGGUUGGCAAAGAGCUCUCUGUUUCAGCUCACAAACAAUCUCUCUGAGAUUGGAAACGUUGUUAUGUUUUAAGAUAAUCUAAUGGAAAAAUGUUUGACCACGUGCGGAAAAUGAAAAUUUAAAAUAUACUUAUAUAUUUCAAACAAGAUACACAUCCUAUUUUAAAAAUGUAUAAAAAGAGAAUAAGAAAAUCAAUCAUUUAGAGAAUGGAAAUUAACAGAUUUUGUUAGGCCAAAUAGAAAAUGAUAAUUAGUUCUUUAAUUAAUUUGAUUAGAAUAUGGUUUAUCUUCCAAUUAAGCUAUUGCAUUGCAAUAAAUGAUUCUUAUUUGAAUAAGGCAAGUGGGACCGUUGAACAGUAGAAAUUGUAAAAUAGUGUUUAAUAGUAGUUUUCCUUUCUUCAAAUCCUAUUAAAAAAAUAUUUAUAGAAUAAUUAUUUCAAAUAGUUUUUUUAUAAAUAAUCAACUUUCUUAUUUAAAUAGUUAAUUUCCUUUUUAAAAAUCAUAAACCAAAAGAAACUACAACUAUUCACAUCUAUUUAUAUGAUUAAGCUUUCUCAUAUUUUAUCACUUCUAAUAUUUUGAUAUCAAACAUAAUAAGUGAUACUAGAAAAUAUUAGGUGAAUAUUUCUGCAUGUUCUUUCUCAUCUUCGCAUAUUAUUUUUUAGGCGUUUGCACAUAUUAAUGAUAUGCGGAUGUACGUAAUUUAAUGAUGAAAGCUAAUGUGACUAUUAUGCUUAUGUAUAAUUAUGUUCAUGUGUGUUUGUUCUUAUCAACAUAUGAAGUUGGUUAUGCUAUUAUAGGUCAUGCAACUAAGAAAUCUAAAUCAAAGAAAGAGACUUUGCAAUGGAACAAAAUUACUAAUUAUUGAUGCAGAAAUACUAACCGAACGUUACGUGAAAAAACAAAUUUCUUUAUGCUACUAAGAAAAUUGGUUAUGCUAUUUUAAGUCAUGCUACUAAAGAAUUUAAAUCAAAGAAAAGAACUAGGCGACAUGAUUAUUGAAGCAGAAAUCCUAAUCAAAGUUAUGUGGGAAAAUGAAUUUUUAUUCAUAGACAAACAUAUGCAAGAUGACAUUUCAAACUGAAAAGAUCUAUUCCCUAUAUGAUUUGCUAUCAAAUGAUUCUCAACAAGAGUUAAGGUCAAAACUUAAAAAAGUUUGUCUAUAUUUGUCAAGUCCAGUUUUACAAUUAUACGCCGCCUUAUAAUAAAUUACUAUAACUACAAAGUUUUAGAUUUUUAAAACAUAACGACAAUGGUUUUCUACAAAAUAUUAUAUAUCAAGAAUUUUUUAAUGAUAUAUGAUAUAUAUAUAUAUAGAAAAAGAGGUUAAAAUCACACUAUGGAUGCUAAAUUAAUCAACCUCGAAUGUUUUAUCUAGAAAUAUAUUUUAUAUUUAGAUGACUAUCAAAAAUACAUAUUGAUUGGUGUUCUGUAACAUUAAAAUUUGGAUUUUGCUAUUUUUAAUUUUUCUUAAGGAAUAAAAAAUAUAGAGAUUUCACGGUUUUAUAUGUUUUAAUUAACUACAAUUAAUAUUAUUUUUAAAAAAUAAAAGUGAGGUAUUUAUUAUAAAAAUUAAUACACUAUUUAAAACAUUGUGAUUAUUGAAACAAAAAUACUAAUCAAAAUUUAUCGAAGAAAAUAAAUUAUUAUUAUUAAAAUAAGUCACUAAUAUAUAAUGAAAAAACAAAAACUAAUGUGAAAUUCUUUUUAUUAUUUUUGUGUUCCUGAAACUAAAACAUCAAAUAAAACCCGUGCAACGCACGGGUCCAUAUCUAGUAGAAAAUAAAUUAGACUGGUUUAGUAACUUUCUUGGUUUAUAAUUUUAUAUAAUUUGCCACAAUAUAAGUUCUGUCUCUAUACGUUGUUUUGGAUUAAAAGCUGUGGGCUGCUCUUGGAUUCCCUGGACUCUUAUAUUUCGGCCGAAUGAAUAAAAGAUUAUAUGAAACUAUGGGCUACUCUUUUUCAACUUUUUAACUUUUAUAUAUUCUGGAAAAAAUCAUAUCAUUGAUAAUGCAAAUAAAUCAAAUUUUAGUGAGUUGCAGAAGCUUUGAAGGCGGCAAAAGAGUGGCAGGAGUCUCUUCCUCCACGAAAACAAAACUCUGUUUCACCUAAAGAUCUUCAUGCUUCGAGCACAACUCCUAAGGUCCCGGAAAAUUCCUUUAUGUUGUUCUCGGAUGCGGCUUGGAAUUCUUCUUCUCUUGCAGGUGGACUCGGCUGGGUAUGUACAGAUUCGAGAGGCACACUCUGUUUCGAAGGAUCCGACAAUGGACGCUACAUUGUGUCAGCUCUUGCAGCAGAAGCCUUGGCUCUGCGUUCAGGCCUUUCGAAGGCUAUGUCCGUUGGAAUUAAAGACGUGGUCUAUUUCUCAGACUCUAAAAGUCUUAUCGAUUUAAACACAGGGAACAAAUCUGUGAUUGCACUGCGAGGGGUACUCCAUGAUAUAGGUUGGCAAAGAGCUCUCUGUUUCAGCUCACAAACAAUCUCUCUGAGAUUGGAAACGUUGUUAUGUUUUAAGAUAAUCUAAUGGAAAAAUGUUUGACCACGUGCGG
rnacentral:lncRNA from 1 species